UACGUAGGGUGCGAGCGUUAAUCGGAAUUACUGGGCGUAAAGGGCGCGUAGGCGGUUUGCUAAGUUGAAUGUGAAAACUCUGGGCUUAACCCAGAGCCUGCAUUCAAUACUGGCAGGCUAGAGUUCUGGAGGGGAUAGCGGAAUUCCUGGUGUAGCGGUGAAAUGCGUAGAUAUCAGGAGGAACACCGGUGGCGAAGGCGGCUAUCUGGACAGAGUCUGACGCUGAGGCGCGAAAGCUAGGGGAGCAAACAGG
rnacentral:rRNA from 1 species